GGGGAUUUAGCUCAGUGGCACAAGCACCUGCCUGUCAAGCAGGAAGUCGUGAGUUCAAUCCCCA
rnacentral:tRNA from 1 species